rnacentral:rRNA from 1 species
GUAACGGCGAGUGAAGCGGCAACAGCUCAAAUUUGAAAUCUGGCCCCCUCGGGGUCCGAGUUGUAAUUUGUAGAGGGUGCUUCGGGCGCGAUGCCGGUCUAAGUUCCUUGGAACAGGACGUCGUAGAGGGUGAGAAUCCCGUAUGCGGCCGGCGAUCAAGCCCGUGUGAAGCCCCUUCGACGAGUCGAGUUGUUUGGGAAUGCAGCUCAAAAUGGGUGGUAAAUUUCAUCUAAAGCUAAAUAUUGGCCAGAGACCGAUAGCGGACAAGUAGAGUGAUCGAAAGAUGAAAAGCACUUUGGAAAGAGAGUCAAACAGUACGUGAAAUUGUUGAAAGGGAAGCGCUUGCAAUCAGACCGGUACGGAGGCGAUCAGCCGCUGCUCGUCAGCGGUGCACUCGCCUGCGAUCCGGCCAGCAUCGGUUUGGGCGGUGGGAUAAAAGGCCCGGGAAUGUAGCUUCUCUCGGGGAGUCUUAUAGCCCGGGUCGCAAUGCCGCCCGCCUGGACCGAGGACCGCGCUUCGGCU